rnacentral:rRNA from 1 species
AGAGUUUGAUCCUGGCUCAGAACGAACGCUGGCGGCAGGCUUAACACAUGCAAGUUGAACGGGAACAUACGAUAGCUUGCUAUAGUAUGUGAGAGUGGCGCACGGGUGAGUAAUACAUGGGAACAUACCUUAAAGUGGGGGAUAACUUCUGGAAACGGAUGCUAAUACCGCAUACACCCUGAGGGGGAAAGAUUUAUCGCUUUAAGAUUGGCCCAUGGCAGAUUAGGUAGUUGGUGGGGUAAAGGCCUACCAAGCCGACGAUCUGUAGCUGGUCUGAGAGGACGAUCAGCCACAUUGGGACUGAGACACGGCCCAGACUCCUACGGGAGGCAGCAGUGAGGAAUAUUGGGCAAUGGGGGCAACCCUGACCCAGCCAUGCCGCGUGAGUGAAGAAGGUUUUCGAAUUGUAAAGCUCUUUCGGAUGUGACGAUGAUGACGGUAGCAUCUAAAGAAGCCCCGGCAAACUUCGUGCCAGCAGCCGCGGUAAUACGAAGGGGGCGAGCGUUGUUCGGAAUUACUGGGCGUAAAGGGUGUGUAGGUGGACGUGUAAGAUAGCGGUGAAAUGCCGGAGCUCAACUUCGGAAUUGCCAUUAUAACUAUGCGUCUAGAAUUAUAGAGAGGAUAGCGGAAUACCCAGUGUAGAGGUGAAAUUCGUAGAUAUUGGGUAGAACACCAGUGGCGAAGGCGGCUAUCUGGCUAUAUAUUGACACUGAGGCACGAAAGCAUGGGGAUCAAACAGGAUUAGAUACCCUGGUAGUCCAUGCCGUAAACGAUGAAUGCUGGUUGUCGGACGAAUGUUCGGUGACGAAGUUAACGCGAUAAGCAUUCCGCCUGGGGAGUACGGCCGCAAGGUUAAAACUCAAAGGAAUUGACGGGGAC